GACGAACGCUGGCGGCGUGCUUAACACAUGCAAGUCGAACGGAAAAGCCCUGCUUUUGUGGGGUGCUCGAGUGGCGAACGGGUGAGUAACACGUGAGUAACCUGCCCUUGACUUUGGGAUAACUUCAGGAAACUGGGGCUAAUACCGGAUAGGAGCUCCUGCUGCAUGGUGGGGGUUGGAAAGUUUCGGCGGUUGGGGAUGGACUCGCGGCUUAUCAGCUUGUUGGUGGGGUAGUGGCUUACCAAGGCUUUGACGGGUAGCCGGCCUGAGAGGGUGACCGGCCACAUUGGGACUGAGAUACGGCCCAGACUCCUACGGGAGGCAGCAGUGGGGAAUAUUGCACAAUGGGCGGAAGCCUGAUGCAGCAACGCCGCGUGCGGGAUGGCGGCCUUCGGGUUGUAAACCGCUUUCGCCUGUGACGAAGCGUGAGUGACGGUAAUGGGUAAAGAAGCACCGGCUAACUACGUG
rnacentral:rRNA from 1 species